rnacentral:rRNA from 1 species
GAUGAACGCUGGCGGCGUGCUUAACACAUGCAAGUCGAACGAAGCACUCUAUUUGAUUUUCUUCGGAAAUGAAGAUUUUGUGACUGAGUGGCGGACGGGUGAGUAACGCGUGGGUAACCUGCCUCAUACAGGGGGAUAACAGUUGGAAACGACUGCUAAUACCGCAUAAGCGCACAGGAUCGCAUGAUCCGGUGUGAAAAACUCCGGUGGUAUGAGAUGGACCCGCGUCUGAUUAGCCAGUUGGCAGGGUAACGGCCUACCAAAGCGACGAUCAGUAGCCGACCUGAGAGGGUGACCGGCCACAUUGGGACUGAGACACGGCCCAAACUCCUACGGGAGGCAGCAGUGGGGAAUAUUGCACAAUGGGGGAAACCCUGAUGCAGCGACGCCGCGUGAGCGAAGAAGUAUUUCGGUAUGUAAAGCUCUAUCAGCAGGGAAGAAG